rnacentral:rRNA from 1 species
UACACACCGCCCGUCACACCACGAGAGUUUGUAACACCCGAAGCCGGUGGAGUAACCAUUUAUGGAGCUAGCCGUCGAAGGUGGGACAAAUGAUUGGGGUGAAGUCGUAACAAGGUAGCCGUAUCGGAAGGUGCGGCUGGAUCACCUCCUUU